GUGGAGCAUGUGGCUUAAUUUGACUCAACGCGGGAAAUCUUACCGGGUCCGGACACACUGAGGAUUGACAGGCAAUAUUAAUACAUCAGCUCUUUUUUAUUAAAGUCUGUGUAUUAUGUUAAAUAUGCUAGUCCUUUCAUGAUUAUGUGAUAGGUGGUGCAUGGCCGUUCUUAGUUCGUGGAGUGAUCUGUCUGCUUAAUUGCGUUUCACUAAGGGCCUAUAAAUUUACGUGUGUUGCGGCACUUUGACCCCUCUCUGAGCGCGCGUCUUAGUUUGCUUUGCUCGCACAAUUAGGUCCUGAAAGCAACGAACGUGACCGCAACCUCUUGUUGCCUUUAUUCCAAACAUGUUUGCCAUUUUAAAUGGUAUUCAUGAAAAAAGGCUUUUUAAACUAGAGGGACCGCUGUUACUUUCUUAAACCAGAGGAAGGUUGCGGCAAUAACAGGUCUGUGAUGCCCUUAGAUGUUCCGGGCUGCACACGUGCUACAAUGAUUAUUGCAGUGAGCAUCUCAUUUUACACACCGCAUGCGCGAGUCCAUUUAUUCACCUCUCUGAGGCGCUUUAAAUGUGUACCUCUGCGCGCGGUAAAGCCUGCUUCGAGAGUAAGUGGGUAAUCAAUUAGAAGUAAUGAUUUCCUUUUUAGCACACAUAUAUACGGCGUCUAUGCCCGGGCUGCCUUGUUGUAGCUUUUGUGCGUAUAGAUGUUUUUUCCGUAUGUGCGAUUGUCAAUUCAUGGUGGGGACAGACCAUUGUUAAUUGUUGGUCUCGGUCUUAACUAGGAAUGCCUUGUACGGGUCUUUGGUUCAACAAACCACCCGGAAUACGUCCCUGCCCUUUGUACACACCGCCCGUCGCUCUUACCGAUGGACUUCUCUGUGAGUUUGAGGGACUGGGAACGCAGAUUUUAUCUGCACACCUAUGGAAACUUAAACGAACAGUGUGGUCUAAAG
rnacentral:rRNA from 1 species